rnacentral:lncRNA from 1 species
GCGAGGUCGCCGCACAAUCGGUCGGCGCAACCCUGUCUGCUUCUCUCUUUACGCCUUCACCUCUCGAGUGAAUCCCUCAGAAAUCACACCAACAAGAGCCCUAAUUUCUCCCAUCAUAAAUCGUUGCCGCCGUUGAAAAACUGGGAUCCGGCGAGCGUCGGCUGCUGUCACGCCCUUGUCUGGAGCCAUCGCCGCCGUUUGGAGCGGCUGCUGCUUCGCCUGGAGUCGCCGCCGACUGCUGCUGCUCGUCAGGCCGCCGAGGGCUUCGUCUGCCGCUGCUCUGGCCGUCCCAACCGCCGGCGAGCAAUUGUUGAUCGCGCCGCCUUCUUUCCCUUCAUCGCAGAGCCCUAAUCGUCAAACCCAGGUCGCUGCUGCGGCCGCAUCCUCGUCCGAAAUCCGACGGGCUGCUGUCGUCUGGGAGCGGCGCUGCUCCGGCCUCCUCCUCUCCGUCGCGACUCUCGGCUGAACUCGUCUUAAGCCGAGCCCCAAAUGGCUCGGUUCUAAGCAUAAGAGGAAAGUAUCAGUCUCUAUCUUGCUGUAAUUAUCUCCGCUUGGGCAAGAUAGGAUUUUUGGUGGUUUUUCUCAUUGAUUCUCAGUUAGUGAAUUUAUCUAGCAGUAAAAUAUAGUUAUGCUAAGGUUAGCCAUUUAUGCAUAUAGUUUUUUUUUAUUGGCAUGAACUGGCAUUCUAUGUUUCUCAUAAAAAUGAGUUCAUAUAAUCUGUUGGUUUGCUAGUGAGUUCUAUGUCGAUAAUAUGGUCAUGCUUCUCCUCUCAUACUCAAAAUCCAAUCGAGCUCUCUCUCCAAUCCAUUCACUUAUCUAGUUUCUGUGAGUUCUUGUGAUUGUUACUCUGGAGUGUAGUGGAAGUGAAGCAUAUAAAUCCUUCUGUUGUAAAGUAUCUCCCUAUUGUACAACAUAUCUUGACUAUUUCGUGUAGAUGAACUGUGAUUAUGCUAAAUAUGGAUGCGAACUGAAUCGAAUACUCUAUUGUUAACUGAUCAUGCUUGCUGGAUGAUGCGAAAUGGAUCGAAUAAGUGAGCUUAGAUAUACCUUGUAAUUGUU